UACGUAGGGUGCGAGCGUUGUCCGGAAUUACUGGGCGUAAAGAGCUCGUAGGUGGUUUGUCGCGUUGUUCGUGAAAACUCACAGCUCAACUGUGGGCGUGCAGGCGAUACGGGCAGACUGGAGUUCGGCAGGGGAGACUGGAAUUCCUGGUGUAGCGGUGAAAUGCGCAGAUAUCAGGAGGAACACCGGUGGCGAAGGCGGGUCUCUGGGCCGAUACUGACGCUGAGGAGCGAAAGCGUGGGGAGCAAACAGG
rnacentral:rRNA from 1 species